rnacentral:rRNA from 1 species
AUUGAACGCUGGUGGCAGGCCUAACACAUGCAAGUCGAACGAGUGGCGGACGGGUGAGUAAUGUCUGGGAAACUGCCUGAUGGAGGGGGAUAACUACUGGAAACGGUAGCUAAUACCGCAUACUAUCAGAUGUGCCCAGAUGGGGUUAGCUAGUUGGGGGGGUAACGGCUAACCAAGGCGACGAACCCUAGCUGGUCUGAGAGGAUGACCAGCCACACGGGAACUAAGACACGGUCCAGACUCCAACGGGAGGCAGAAGUGGGGAAUAUUGCACAAUGGGCGAAAGCCUGAUGCAGCCAUGCCGCGUGUAUGAAGAAGGCCUUCGGGUUGUAAAGUACUGUCAGCGGGGAGGCGUUACCCGCAGAAGAAGCACCGGCUAACUACGUGCCAGCAGCCGCGGUAAUUC